rnacentral:rRNA from 1 species
UCUAAGUUUGAUGGCGACCGGCGCACGGGUGAGUAACACGUAUCCAACCUGCCGAUGACUCGGGGAUAGCCUUUCGAAAGAAAGAUUAAUACCCGAUGGCAUAAUGAUUCCGCAUGGUUUCAUUAUUAAGGAUUCCGGUAAAGGAUGGGGAUGCGUUCCAUUAGGUUGUUGGUGGGGUAACGGCCCACCAAGCCUUCGAUGGAUAGGGGUUCUGAGAGGAAGGUCCCCCACAUUGGAACUGAGACACGGUCCAAACUCCUACGGGAGGCAGCAUG